AUGGAUUGGACCUGGAGAAUUCUAUUCCUGUUGGUAGUGGCUGCAGGUGUGAAUUCCCAGGUGCAGCUGGUACAGUCGGGGCCUGAGGUGGGAAAACCUGGGACAUCAGUCAAGAUCUCCUGCCAGGCGUCUGGAUACACCUUCACCAGCUAUGGGAUGUACUGGGUGCGGCAGGACCUGGGACAAGGGUUUGAGUGGAUGGGAUGGAUAAACACUAACAGUGGUGGUACAGGCUAUGCACCGAAGUUCCAGGACAGGCUCACCUUCACUGUAGACAAGUCCAAGGACACAGCCUACAUGGAACUGAGCAGGCUGAGCACUGAGGAUACGGCCGUGUAUUACUGUGCGAGA